CUCCUAAACCUAUUCCUAAUUUUUAUUCUUCAACUGAUUUCCAUGAUUCCCUUAAAGCUCCAAGGGUCAAUUAUCAGAUGGACUUACCUGUACGCCAUAAGCAUCUCAUGCACCAUGCUUAGACCGGAAGAACACAAAGGAAUUAAUGUGCAUUGCUGCCCUAUCAUGUUCCCGUAA